rnacentral:lncRNA from 1 species
CGGUGCAAGACGACAAAUGUUCAUAGAAAAUCGUCGCCUCGUUAAGGAAGAGGACAGUGUUGUGGGAGAUCAAAAAGUACAAAGGUCCACAUACAUGUGCUGCAGGUACAGUAUUGAAUGUGUCUGAAUAAUAUUUUUAUUUUCCAAUGUUGCAUUAUUUAAUGUACUCCCUCCCUCUGUAGGUGUUUCAGAAGAUCAUCCGAAAAUGGAUUCAGCUAUGUUGGCUAGCUUGAUACUGCCCACGAUAAAGGUAGAUCCUAGGACUUCAGUGCCGGUGAUAAUUUCCAAUAUCCGUAGCCAAAUGGGGUACACGC